rnacentral:rRNA from 1 species
UACGGAGGGUGCAAGCGUUAUCCGGAUUCACUGGGUUUAAAGGGUGCGUAGGUGGGUAUGUAAGUCAGUGGUGAAAUCCCCGAGCUUAACUCGGGAACUGCCGUUGAUACUAUAUGUCUUGAAUAUCGCGUAGGUAAGCGGAAUAUGUCAUGUAGCGGUGAAAUGCUUAGAUAUGACAUAGAACACCAAUUGCGAAGGCAGCUUACUUCACGAUUAUUGACACUGAGGCACGAAAGCGUGGGGAGCAAACAGG